GGUGACGUCACACGUCUGCGCCGCUCCUGCAUCUGUUGAUUCGGCUGAGAAAAGGAAAAACUCCUGCUAAGAUCCACACACGCUUGCAAAGAUGGUGUUUAUUAAAGAGGAGAGUGAAGACGUGAAGAUUGAAGAAACAUUCAGAGUCAAACAUGAAGAUACUGAUGAACAAACAGACCUAAUGCCACUGAAAGAGGAGUGCAAAGUGCUAAAUGAAAUGGAAGAGAAGGAACAAUAUGAGACUCAUCGUGAUUUUGUAACUGGAGAAGAAUCUUCCAUUUGACCACAGACUAAAAAGACUUUCUCACAGAAAACAUCUUGUGAAGCAUUAACUACAAGUUCUUUUAUCCCUUUUCACUGUGAAAAGAGUUUCAGUGAAUGUGGAAACCUUAACAUCCACACUGGACUUCACACUGGAGGGAAGCCUUUCACCUGCCAACAUUGUCGAGUCAGUUUUAGUGGAAGAGGAAACCUGAACAGUCACCUGAGAGUUCACACUGGGGAGAAGCCUUUCACCUGCCAACAGUGUGGAAAAAGGUUUACUCAAAAAGGAAACCUUAACAGGCACAUGAGAAUUCACAGCGGAGACAAGCCUUUCAGCUGCCAACAGUGUGGAAAAAGGUUCAGUUGAAAAAGGAAACCUUAGUUACCACAUGAGAGUUCACACUGGGGAGAGGCCUUUCACCUGCCAACAGUGUGGAACAAGCUUUACUCAGAAAGGAAACCUUGACUCACACAUGAGGAUUCACACUGGUGACAAGCCUUACACCUGCCCUGAAUGUGGAAAGAGUUUUGGUCAACAUGGAAGCCUUCAAUUCCACAUGAGAGGUCACACUCUAAAGAAGCCUUACACUUGCCAACAGUGUGGAAUAAGUUUUGAUCAAAAUUUAAACCUUAAAGCGCAUAUGAGAAUUCACACUGGUGAAAAACCUUACUUCAGUGUGGAAAGAGUUUCAAUCACCAGGGAAGCCUUAAAGUCCACAUGAGAGUUCACAUUGGAGCGAGUCUUUUUAUCUGCCAAUAGUGUGGAAAGAGUUUCAGUAGAAAAGAAAUCCUUGAUUACCACACUAGGCCUUUCACCUGCCAACAAAAGCUUUACUCAAAAAGAAACCCUUAACUGGCACAUGAGAAUUCACACUGGAGACAAGUGUUAGGUGUGCCAGAAGUGUGGAAAAAGUUUCAACCAAAAAGGAAACCUUGAUUAUCACAUGAGUUCACGCUGGAGAAAAACAUUAUACAUGCCCUUUUCGAUAUACAUUGGAGAGAGUCCCUUAACAACAACUCAAAAAAAUAGCCAACACGAGUGUUUAACGGUUGAGUUUCCAUAAACAUUCCCUCUUAUCUGUCUCUGGGGUUUGCUCAGUAACUUCAAAAUGAAAUUCCAGGACUUUUCAAGCUGUAGUUUUUUAGUUUUCAAAGACUAAAAUCAGAGAUCUCACUUAUCAAACAAUAUCUUUAUUAUCCUUCAAAUUCAAAUAAAACAAAAUAUUACAGAUAAAGUGGAGCACAAAAGCAUGCAAUGGCGGUGGCAACUUUAACAUUUGAAAGGAUACUAUGACAAAGUUAUCUGGCCAGAGAACAACUGGCCCCCGACUGAGCCUGGUUUCUCCCAAGGUUGUUUUUUUCUCCAUUUAUGUCACAGAUGGAGUUUUGGUUUCUUGCCGCUGUCGCCUCUUGCUUGAUUAGUUGUGCACACUUAAUUUCCAGCGAUAUCGUCAACUUGACUGCACAGAUACUGUUUGAACUGAACUGAAGUGAACUGAGAUGGACGAUGACAAUACAAGCUGCUUUGACAUAAUCUGUAUUGUUAAAGCCCUAUACAAAUAAAGGUGACUUGACUUUUGGCUUUCCUUAUUCAAACUGAUUUACUGUCAUGAAUAUAUGAUUGACCUGAAGAAUAAAAGCUAUAU